AGCAUAUACUUAAAUAAAGAUGUGCAUGUGUGAUGGAGUAAAUGAUAGUGAUGAUGAAAAUGCAUAAGUGAUAACUUACUUCUCAUUGCUCCUCAUAUUGCUAUCUCUUCUCUUCUUUGAUCUUUGCUUUGGGAGAACAUGGGCUAUCUUUUUCUCUCUUUUUUUCAGGUGGGUAGUAGAUACCCCUAAUUCUACUGUCGGACACUUGUCCAUUUUUUCCGCUCAAGUGGGCAUCUUUGUACCCCUAAUUCUUCUUCGGACACUUGUCCAUUUUUACCUCUCGUCUCACUCUUUUUCUUUCUUUUCCGAGGUUUCGGGCACUUGCCCCUUUUUAUUUCCUCGUAUAUUUUUGCAUAACCCAUGCCUCUUCUGCAUUGAAUCUUUUUAGAGAGAGAGAGUAACAGUACUUGGGACAGUGAGUGAUAAUAUAUUUUAGCAAUUUUAAUGAUUGAUAAUGAACGUUGUGGUAGAUGUGUGCAAGUGAAUAUCUUAAUUUAACCACAUGAAAAGCUCCUAAGGGUCUACACAGCUCGAUCAAACUCAAUGUAAAUAUAGUGAAAGAUGUUAUAGCAAGUAUGGCUGUGGUAGGUAGUUUUGUUAUGCUAGGAACUCAUCAUGUGACUUGUAAGUUUUCAAAAUAAAUCUCCAGAACUUAGUGUAGUAGGAACAAGAUAAACAACAGCUCAACUUUAUAUCAUGCCUUUCUCUUACCUAGACUUUAGUUUUAUGCUUCCCAAAGAUAGUAAUUUUAGUUUUAGUAAUUCCUGGAAGAACUCUAAUAUAAAAGCUAGGUACUUGUAAGUAAGCAAACAGAACAACUGUUCAUCAUUUCCAUCAUGCAUAUUUUUGGUCUUUUUAUUUUUUUUUCUAGAGAUUAAACUUAGCAGAAAAAUAAAGCACACUUAUCUACACACUCUUUUUAUUUUGUUUUCAUGUUUAUAAAGUGCAAUAAUUUAAAGCAAGAAAAUAUUUAUUUGGUUUUCUAGGUUUUUCCUUUAAAAUAAAAUACUAAAAUAGAAUAGAAUAAAUAAGAAGAGCAAAUAAAAACUUACUUGAUAAAUUUGGAGGAACUCCCCCAAGCUGGAUGUUGACGUCGGUCUUUACCCGAUGUUCCAGAACCGCAUCAUGGUUGUGAUGUUGUCGUUCAUUGUUGUUGUAUCUUGUCUCAGCUCUUCUACUGCAGCGGCAUGGUCCUGGUUUCAUUUUUGUUGCUCUUCCAGGAGUCUUCCAUGUUCUGCUUGCGUGUUCUGGAUGUCGAGGAGGGUGUUGUCGGUGCGAGUGAAGAAAGCACCGGCCUCUUGAUAGUAGUCAUUCGUGAAAGCGUAGGAGGCGUCGGAGUAUCGUCCUGCAUCAAAUUGGGGCGGAGGUCUGGAUCCUGAGGCUCCAUAUGGAUCAGUGGAGUACCUGCCCGUAUGAAAAGGCGG
rnacentral:lncRNA from 1 species